AUUGAACGCUGGCGGCAGGCUUAACACAUGCAAGUCGAGCGAGCGGCGGACGGGUGAGUAAUGUCUGGGAAACUGCCUGAUGGAGGGGGAUAACUACUGGCAACGGUAGCUAAUACCGCAUACCAUCAGAUGUGCCCAGAUGGGAUUAGCUAGUCGGUGGGGUAAUGGCUCACCUAGGCGACGAUCCCGAGCUGGUCUGAGAGGAUGACCAGCCACACUGGAACUGAGACACGGUCCAGACUCCUACGGUAGGCAGCAGUGGGGAAUAUUGCACAAUGGGCGCAAGCCUGACGCAGCCAUGCCGCGUGUGUGAAGAAGGCCUUCGGGUUGUAAAGCACUUUCAGUUGGGAGGCGUUACCAACAGAAUAAGCACCGGCUAACUUCGUGCCAGCAGCCGCGGUAAUUC
rnacentral:rRNA from 1 species